AUGUAUAAAAUCUUGUUUAGUUAGCAUAUGCAGUUCAUUACUCGAUAUAUUUCGUUUUUGACAUUCCUUUAAUAAAUUACCAGCCCCUACAUUACGUAAAAUUAAUUCUGUCUGUUUUGUAUACGAUGGAUUAACACGAAAUGGGUCUAUGUUAUAAAACUGUAAUGUCAUUUUUAUAACAAAUUUUAAUUAGGUUAAUGAUUAUUUAUAACGUUAUUUAAUAACGAAGUUUAUUUAAUAUGUACACAUGAAUAUAUGUAUGUAUAUAUGUCUUCUUUUUUAACCGGUAUGCUGCUACUUAUGCGAACAUUCGCAUAUUUAUAUACAAACGCCAAGGUUAUUCACUACCUGUUGUUCAAAACGUGUGUGACUUCAGCGACAGGUAUGGACAAAAUAUGAACUACGAAGAAUAAGAGAAGCGAAGAAUGGUAUUCCCAUCAUGCAUCUAUUGUAUCGAUGUAUAAGCUUGUUCGGUUAUGUUCAUGUGUUUAGAGUAGAUUGUGAGCUCACUCUUUUUAGUCUCUCAUAUGUAUAUAAUAAUAUGAAGUGAAUUCCUACAGAGAAAACCAUGACAAAAUAGCGCUGGGAAAAAGAUCUCUGGGAGAUAAUGAACUCGUGUUUUGAUCUUUAUUAAAAAUAAUAUAUAAUAAUUAUUAAUUUUGAACAAAAUAAUCGACAAAUGUAUAUACCUUAUAUAUAUAUAUAUAUAUAUAUAUAUUUAUUAUUUAUAUAUAUAUAUAUGCUGCUGUGCCCUAUUCUAACAAAGAUUACCGCGAAAUUCACAUCAGCCAUCAGUUAAGGAAAUAAAUAUAAGAGAUCGGAUAGUUAUACCUUACCAAAUUAUCAAAUAAAAAAAGAAUAAUUUAGUCCAUUAUUUUCGUUUACAUCGAUACAAUAAAAAAAAAAAAAAAAAAACCAUAAUCAUUUUUAGCGCCGAGAAUCUAAGAAUCUUUAUCUUUUUAGUAAAUGAUUAAAAAACCAGGGAUUAAUAAAGCAGCCUUAAAUGGAAGUACCAAUUGUUUAUAAACAAAGUAUAGAUUGCAAUAAAUGUUGUGAAAAUAUAACGUGUAUUUAUGGAUAUCUAUAUUACAGCAUGUAUAAAUAACUUAUUAAUAUUUUACAUUAUUUUAUAUUCAUUGAUAUUAUUGCAAUAUUAGCUCAUGUAAAAUGCUGAUAAAAAUUCCAUUUAUAUUUAGUUAUAAUAAUAAUUAGACAAGUGUUUUACACUUUGCAUCUUUCUCAUUUACCGUACAACAGACAUAUCAAUGUAAUAGUCUUUUUUUCUUUUGUUACAAAAAAAAAAAAAAAAUUAAUA